rnacentral:rRNA from 1 species
UGUCGUCAGCUCGUGUCGUGAGAUGUUGGGUUAAGUCCCGCAACGAGCGCAACCCUUUUCCUUACUUGCCAGCAUUUCGGAUGGGAACUUUAAGGAUACUGCCAGUGACAAACUGGAGGAAGGCGGGGACGACGUCAAGUCAUCAUGGCCCUUACGGCCAGGGCUACACACGUGCUACAAUGGUCGGUACAAAGGGUUGCUACACAGCGAUGUGAUGCUAAUCUCAAAAAGCCGAUCGUAGUCCGGAUUGGAGUCUGCAACUCGACUCCAUGAAGUCGGAAUCGCUAGUAAUCGCGGAUCAGAAUGCCGCGGUGAAUACGUUCCCGGGCCUUGUACACACCGCCCGUCACACCAUGGGAGUUUGUUGCACCAGAAGUAGCUAGCCUAACUGCAAAGAGGGCGGUUACCACGGUGUGGCCGAUGACUGGGGUGAAGUCGUAACAAGGUAGCCGUAGGGGAACCUGCGGCUGGAUCACCUCCUUAA